GCUAUUGUACUCCUGUGAUCCACACUACUUGGGAAGCUGAGGCUGGUGGGUCACUUGAGCUCGGGAGCUCUGAAUGGUAGUAGGGCCAAAGCUGAUCAUGUAAUCUCACCAAGACUGGCACCAAUAUGGUGAUCCCUGGGAGCAAGGGACUACCAGGCUGCCUAAGUAUGGGCAGACUGGUCUAAGUCAGAAAUGUGGUAGGUCAAAGCUCCCAUGAUAAUCAGCAGUGGGGCUGGGCUCAUGAAUGGAUGCUGCACUUGCAGGCUGGGGGAGAUAGGGAGACCUAGUCCU
rnacentral:SRP_RNA from 1 species